rnacentral:rRNA from 1 species
GCCGGCAGCUAGCUUUCUGCAACUCUCACAUGAUCACCCACUGAAGCCAAGCAGGGCUGCGCCCGGUCAGUACCUGGAUGGGAGACCACAUGGGAAAACUAUAGGUUGCUGUUGGAA